rnacentral:sRNA from 1 species
UGGUUUCCUGAAGAGGCCAGAGGAAGGGAUUGGCACCAUGGUUGUGAGCUGACAUAUGUGUUGGGAAAGUGGACUUUUCUACCAGCCAGAAGAAUUGUCAGAUGCCGUCAAUGCAAAUGAUUGACUGGACUCUCCAGCUGCCCACACCCUCUGUUCCUCACCUCGUAUCUUGUGGAAAAUUAACCCAACUAGAGACACUGCCCAGCUUCUUCUUGCCUAACAGCCUAUUGAUCUUGAGAAAGAUAAGGACGGAACAGUAAAAACCCACUUUCGGCUCAGUGGACAGGACAGAGGCCUGCAAGGAAAACAGAAAAAGGCAGUGAAAAUCAGACGAUGUCUGAGUUCCUUUGUAUCCAUACAAGGGGACAUAAAGCUUAAUCCAUAUCUAAUGGAUCUGACUGUGGCUGUGUGCAGCUUCAUCUACAGAGGACAGAGCAGGAACAAGACAGGCAUUUACAGUGUUGAACUGCACUGAAUCAUUUUCUGUCCC